GGGCUCGUGGCUCAGUCUGGAUAGAGCGUCUGGCUUCGGACCAGAAUGUCGGGGGUUCAAAUCCCUCCGAGCUCACCA
rnacentral:tRNA from 1 species